rnacentral:rRNA from 1 species
CGGCUAUCACUACAGGAUGGGCCCGCGGCGCAUUAGCUAGUUGGUAAGGUAACGGCUUACCAAGGCGACGAUGCGUAGCCGACCUGAGAGGGUGAUCGGCCACACUGGGACUGAGACACGGCCCAGACUCCUACGGGAGGCAGCAGUAGGGAAUCUUCCGCAAUGGACGAAAGUCUGACGGAGCAACGCCGCGUGAGUGAUGAAGGGUUUCGGCUCGUAAAGCUCUGUUGUUAGGGAAGAACAAGUAUCGUUCGAAUAGGGCGGUACCUUGACGGUACCUAACCAGAAAGCCACGGCUAACUACGUGCCAGCAGCCGCGGUAAUACGUAGGUGGCAAGCGUUGUCCGGAAUUAUUGGGCGUAAAGCGCGCGCAGGCGGUCUUUUAAGUCUGAUGUGAAAGCCCCCGGCUCAACCGGGGAGGGUCAUUGGAAACUGGGAGACUUGAGUACAGAAGAGGAGAGUGGAAUUCCACGUGUAGCGGUGAAAUGCGUAGAUAUGUGGAGGAACACCAGUGGCGAAGGCGACUCUCUGGUCUGUAACUGACGCUGAGGCGCGAAAGCGUGGGGAGCAAACAGGAUUAGAUACCCUGGUAGUCCACGCCGUAAACGAUGAGUGCUAGGUGUUAGGGGUUUCGAUGCCCUUAGUGCCGAAGUUAACACAUUAAGCACUCCGCCUGGGGAGUACGACCGCAAGGUUGAAACUCAAAGGAAUUGACGGGGGCCCGCACAAGCAGUGGAGCAUGUGGUUUAAUUCGAAGCAACGCGAAGAACCUUACCAGGUCUUGACAUCCUUUGACCACCCUAGAGAUAGGGCUUUCCCCUUCGGGGGACAAAGUGACAGGUGGUGCAUGGUUGUCGUCAGCUCGUGUCGUGAGAUGUUGGGUUAAGUCCCGCAACGAGCGCAACCCUUGAUCUUAGUUGCCAGCAUUUAGUUGGGCACUCUAAGGUGACUGCCGGUGACAAACCGGAGGAAGGUGGGGAUGACGUCAAAUCAUCAUGCCCCUUAUGACCUGGGCUACACACGUGCUACAAUGGAUGGUACAAAGAGCAGCGAAACCGCGAGGUCGAGCCAAUCUCAUAAAGCCAUUCUCAGUUCGGAUUGUAGGCUGCAACUCGCCUACAUGAAGCCGGAAUUGCUAGUAAUCGCGGAUCAGCAUGCCGCGGUGAAUACGUUCCCGGGCCUUGUACACACCGCCCGUCACACCACGAGAGUUUGUAACACCCGAAGUCGGUGG